rnacentral:rRNA from 1 species
CAGCCGCCGCGGGAAUACGUAGGUGGCAAGCGUUGUCCGGAAUUAUUGGGCUUAAAGGGCUCGCAGGCGGUUUCUUAAGUCUGAUGUGAAAGCCCCCGGCUCAACCGGGGAGGGUCAUUGGAAACUGGGAAACUUGAGUGCAGAAGAGGAGAGUGGAAUUCCACGUGUAGCAGUGAAAUGCGUAGAGAUGUGGAGGAACACCAGUGGCGAAGGCGACUCUCUGGUCUGUAACUGACGCUGAGGAGCGAAAGCGUGGGGAGCGAACAGGAUUAGAUACCCCUGUAGUCCCUGUCUCUUAUAC